UUUAUUGAUGAAACCUUUCACACCUUUUCCCGGUGAAUAAAUUAAUGUGCCAUGGAAAAAACAUGCAUCACCAUCUGACC
rnacentral:snoRNA from 1 species